ACUCAAGAUUCUGAACAGGAAACAACUCUUAAAAACAAAUUCUACAUCAUCCUUAAGAAAAAAAGCGCUUCCUUGCUCAUCAGUCAUAUUGCCAUAGCUCAUCUCUUCAUUUUAGCCUGCAAUUAGAACUUUGCAGGGUUCAGGCCACAGAAAUGAAGGUCAAGAAAGUGCAGAAAAGAAAGUGAAUGAACUGACAGAGGAAAGAUGAUGUUUCUGGAGAAAAGAAGCAUUUGCAGUUAGCAGAGGAGUUAUUUUCAGAUCCAGCUUUUCUCAAGUUGUCCUUUUAUAACUUGAAACCACCCAUGUCCAAAAAUGAUAAGAAGUGAAUGAUAAAGAGAAAAGAAAAGAAAAAGGGACACUGUGUGGUAUGUAGGUCAGCCUCUCCAGUGACUUUUUUCUGUGACUUUCUCAGGAGAUGAUGGAUGAAGUGUAGUUUUGUUUUGUUUUCCUUUCACUUUAUAUCUAAGAGCAUGACAUUCUACAGAUUCAUAUUCUGAAAGAUGUAGUGAUUCACAAAUAAACCAACAAAAAUGAGAGUUAAAAAAAAAA